GCUCUGCCUCCCUGGGAAGUGCUUGUAGGCUACAUUUUAGCUGUAAGUGCUUUAUAAUGCAAGCUGACUGUAGCUGAAAUUGGUGUCCCUUAGCUGCUUGAUUAGUUAGAUAAAUUCGGCAGGCUUGUGUCUGGGAUCCAUGGUAAUGGAGUUACGUUGCUAUGCUAUGAAAUGUGCAGGAAGGUCCAGCACUUCAGGAAGGAUAUGAUUUCCAGGGCUAAUGAAACUUGGUAGUGCAGGCAAGAAGGAAUGUUUGGAAGAAUGAACAAAAGCAAUCCCUGGAACAGUGACAGGAUUGCUCAAGUCAGUGGGAACAGGCAAAGGCAUCAAUGCCCCAGGAAGGUUUCCCUGGGAGGGCUGCAACAACCACCUCAAAGAUCAUUUAAAAGUGGCGUCCUGGAGGAAAAGUAUCACAGUUCUUCUCCUGUCAUCCCAAGGAAAGCCUACAUGGCAACAUUUUUACAGCGAACUUUUUUUUCACUCUGGCAAAACAAGCAAAAGUCUCCUCAAACCUGUUGGUUUAGCGAAUGCAGAAGACUCCUCCUGUGUUCAUGACCUGGGGGACUGCAUGCAAAUGUAAAGUAAAUAUGCACCUUCAAUGCUACCAGAUGGACAACACCUAUUCUCUGAAGAUGAGAAAACAAAUAUUCUUAGGCAUACAUAUACAUUCAUGCUUCCUCAUGGAUGUUCAAGAAAUACAAACCUGUAUGGAAGCAGGUGGAAUGUUUUUGCAUCAUGAAGACAGCAGGAGGAGAGUAUUCCUCCAGCCAGAAGCUUGCUGAAAUAAUUCAUCUUGACUCAGGAGAAAAGGUAGAACUGGCUCAUUUGGACUGUGCAUGGGGUGUCACUUUGCCCACAAUAUUAAAGAAAAAGAAAGAUGCAUCUGUUUUCAGUGGCAGUCUCACUCUCUCUCCCUGCUCAGCUGUGUCAGCUCUGCCAGUAAUGAGCAUAAGCACUAAUAUCACUGGGGUUUGUUCCUUUGCAGCCAGUCUCCCACACAGAUUUAUAAGUGCGACUCUGAUGGCAGCACCAGCCAUUAUGACUCUCACAUCAAGAGGUUGAUGCACACUUAAGGCUUCAGCUGAUUACCUGUCUUUGAAAUAAUCUUUCUCAAUAUUAGUCAAAUUGGCCUGCUCCCAGCAGCAAAGUACCCAUGCCUACCUACCACAGACAACACACACCCAGCCGUGAUCCUGCCCUAUAGAAAAUCUAAUACGGAUCUAAUAUAAGAUGCAUAGGAAAAGGACUGAAUGCUCCAAAUGGCCUCAAAGAUAAAAGCAAAAAGCAUAUAGAAAAGUACAGUAAAUUAGUUUCCUUGCACAAAUCUCAUUGGAACAGCGUAUAGGUUUUGUCUAUGUGAUUCUUCUAUCAGUGAUAAUUACCAGUGGUGAGGGAACUAGGGGUAGAGUAGGGCCAGCUGCUUCGGUCUCACCUUCCUCUUGCAUUGGCAAGACAGAUACAGCAUGCCUACAGCUUGCAUUUUCAAAGUUGAUUCAGAAUCCAUGCUGGUUUAUAACUGAUUCUACCACCAUGACAUGAAUGAACAUAGAUUUUUCUCUGAUCUCUUUUCAUUUACUGGCAACAAAACAUAAAAAUUCCAAAUAGCCUUCCAGGAUUUAUGCAAAGUCUUCAUGGCCCAGGCUGCCAUUCACUAUGACAUUUCGUUGGUAUGGCAAGGACUCCAAAAUGCCUCUUUUCCAGCACUUUGAAGAAGGAACCACUCCAGAAAUUUCCCAUUUUUCCAUGCUCCCCAAGAAGAUGCAUCAUGUUUUACACAUAAAAGUGACGAUGGUUUUAUUAGGAUAGUUAAUGAAACAUACAAAUAGGUAAAAUACGGCAUGUCUGAACAAUGUGCCUAUCUCUGAAAUUUAAAAGGAAGCUAGUAAAAAGCCAUCAUCAUACACUCAGUCAAUGUUACUUCCAAAUGAAAUUAGUAAUCCCAAGGCAUGAUUUGCUAAAGCAGCACUGCAGCCUACACCUUGAAUCCCGCCACCUUAGGGGGACAAUUACUACUCUUCCAGCAGCCAGUCUCAGUGACCUUAGCAGCUGCAGAAGGUACCUUUAGCUUUCCAUGGGGACCUGAAGGGACAGGAGGUGUCCCAAAAUACCUCUGUGGAGAGAAAAUUACUGUGAACCAAGCCUCUGCUAGUCCAAAUAUUUUAUGGUGUAACAGGGACUGGCAUGCAGCUGGAUUCCAGGGUAACUCAGCAAUGCGGCUUCUGUGGCACCUGCUGGUUUUCUCCCUCUGACAUGAGGGAUUCAGAUUAAACAGUAGAACCUGCCCCAGAACAAUCUUGAUGCAGGUCAUGAGACCAACCACCACUUCUAGAGCUCUAACACUUUACUGGAAAGAUACAAGCAGCUCAAGAGCCAAUGAGUGCACGUGAGCUUGGCCACUCUCACCACCAGCAGCACGAUCCAGAGUGAGAAAUAAUCACAGUAAAAGAAGUAACUUCCAAAGUUGCUGUAUUUUUGGUCUGCAUCAACUCCAAAGAUUCCUUCCCAGUUCUCCCAGGGUCCUUAAGAUUGGAGAUUUUUAAUGGCCUUGAAUGGUAAACUGGGCUGAAAGGAAGUGUCCUUGAUUUCACCCUAAAGCCUAAGAAAGGAUGGCAUAGGUCACAGGUACAAUACCAAUGGGAAAGCCAAAAUAAGCUGCUCAGAGGCAUAAGAAUGCAUACCAAUUAGCAAUGGAAAUGUGAUUCUACCCUUCUCUCUUCCUAGAAAUGCUGAUCUCUCAUAAGUUAAAAAAAAAAAAAAAAAAAAAAAAAAAACAGAAGAAAAAAGAAAAAAAUGGAUACUAAAAAAGCCCCAUCAAGCUCUUGCCUAACAUGACAGAAAUCUUGUCUAGAAGACCAAGAUGAAUCAAGCCAGAACACCGACAAUUUUAUCUUGGGAGAAGGAAGGAGCACAGUGGCUUUAAACCUUCUAGAGCAGUAGCUGUGGGAGCACAUCAGCAGGAUCAGGGAGAAAAAAAAUAAAAAAUCAGUCAGAUAGAAAGCAGAGCAUUCUCCUGAACAGAUUGUGCUAAGACAUGGCUCUGGAGCUACUGCUCCAAGGCUGUGAGCAGAAACAGCAGACUCAAUUGCUUGGGAAAAAAAAACCCCAGACCCUAACAAAUCGCCAAAAAACUGAGAACAGAGAUCUUUGUCAUUAAUUGGUUAGGAACACUCCAUAAUUAGAAGAUUUAUAAGAAGUAAAUUUGGAGAGUCUUAGCAUAGAUGAAAAAAAACUUAGUGUUAAUCACUGCCCGUAUGGAAAGAAAAAGGUCACAGCUAAGGCUAGCCAAUAUAUUUUUUUUCCUAAGGAUCGGGUGAAAGGCCAGACCAUGUCUCUGGGAAUUCAUCAUCAAAAUGGUACCGGACCGUCUUCUCCAUCCUAAACCCAGUGGACACGACAGGCGACCCCUGUGCUGCCCGCCAGGAGCCGAAGUUCCCUUGAGGAGCGCUUUCCCCGCUCCCUCGGUACCGGGGCAGGCGCUGGUAUCUGGCUGCACACGGGUCACCCAGAGCCCCAGAGCACUGCCCUGGUCCCGGCCAGAGGAAAGCGCCCGCAGCGGGGGCAGCCGGGGAUCUCCCCGCAGUCUCAAGGAGAGCGGCGGCGCCCGGAGACGGG